rnacentral:sRNA from 1 species
GCUGGGUAUGGUGGUGUAUGCCUAUAAUCCCAGCAGCUUGGGAGGCUGAGGCAGGAGGAUUGUGAGUUCAAAGCCAGCCUCAGCAAAGUAAUGAGGUCUUAAGUAACUCAGGAAGACCCUGUCUCUA